rnacentral:rRNA from 1 species
GGGUUGUGAGGUUAAGCGACUAAGCGUACACGGUGGAUGCCCUGGCAGUCAGAGGCGAUGAAGGACGUGCUAAUCUGCGAUAAGCGUCGGUAAGGUGAUAUGAACCGUUAUAACCGGCGAUUUCCGAAUGGGGAAACCCAGUGUGAUUCGUCACACUAUCAUUAACUGAAUCCAUAGGUUAAUGAGGCGAACCGGGGGAACUGAAACAUCUAAGUACCCCGAGGAAAAGAAAUCAACCGAGAUUCCCCCAGUAGCGGCGAGCGAACGGGGAGCAGCCCAGAGCCUGAAUCAGUGUGUGUGUUAGUGGAAGCGUCUGGAAAGGCGCGCGAUACAGGGUGACAGCCCCGUACACAAAAAUGCACAUGCUGUGAGCUCGAUGAGUAGGGCGGGACACGUGGUAUCCUGUCUGAAUAUGGGGGGACCAUCCUCCAAGGCUAAAUACUCCUGACUGACCGAUAGUGAACCAGUACCGUGAGGGAAAGGCGAAAAGAACCCCGGCGAGGGGAGUGAAAAAGAACCUGAAACCGUGUACGUACAAGCAGUGGGAGCACAGAGCAAUCUGUGUGACUGCGUACCUUUUGUAUAAUGGGUCAGCGACUUAUAUUCUGUAGCAAGGUUAACCGAAUAGGGGAGCCGAAGGGAAACCGAGUCUUAACUGGGCGUUAAGUUGCAGGGUAUAGACCCGAAACCCGGUGAUCUAGCCAUGGGCAGGUUGAAGGUUGGGUAACACUAACUGGAGGACCGAACCGACUAAUGUUGAAAAAUUAGCGGAUGACUUGUGGCUGGGGGUGAAAGGCCAAUCAAACCGGGAGAUAGCUGGUUCUCCCCGAAAGCUAUUUAGGUAGCGCCUCGUGAAUUCAUCUCCGGGGGUAGAGCACUGUUUCGGCAAGGGGGUCAUCCCGACUUACCAACCCGAUGCAAACUGCGAAUACCGGAGAAUGUUAUCACGGGAGACACACGGCGGGUGCUAACGUCCGUCGUGAAGAGGGAAACAACCCAGACCGCCAGCUAAGGUCCCAAAGUCAUGGUUAAGUGGGAAACGAUGUGGGAAGGCCCAGACAGCCAGGAUGUUGGCUUAGAAGCAGCCAUCAUUUAAAGAAAGCGUAAUAGCUCACUGGUCGAGUCGGCCUGCGCGGAAGAUGUAACGGGGCUAAACCAUGCACCGAAGCUGCGGCAGCGACGCUUAUGCGUUGUUGGGUAGGGGAGCGUUCUGUAAGCCUGUGAAGGUGUACUGUGAGGUAUGCUGGAGGUAUCAGAAGUGCGAAUGCUGACAUAAGUAACGAUAAAGCGGGUGAAAAGCCCGCUCGCCGGAAGACCAAGGGUUCCUGUCCAACGUUAAUCGGGGCAGGGUGAGUCGACCCCUAAGGCGAGGCCGAAAGGCGUAGUCGAUGGGAAACAGGUUAAUAUUCCUGUACUUGGUGUUACUGCGAAGGGGGGACGGAGAAGGCUAUGUUAGCCGGGCGACGGUUGUCCCGGUUUAAGCGUGUAGGCUGGUUUUCCAGGCAAAUCCGGAAAAUCAAGGCUGAGGCGUGAUGACGAGGCACUACGGUGCUGAAGCAACAAAUGCCCUGCUUCCAGGAAAAGCCUCUAAGCAUCAGGUAACAUCAAAUCGUACCCCAAACCGACACAGGUGGUCAGGUAGAGAAUACCAAGGCGCUUGAGAGAACUCGGGUGAAGGAACUAGGCAAAAUGGUGCCGUAACUUCGGGAGAAGGCACGCUGAUAUGUAGGUGAAGUCCCUCGCGGAUGGAGCUGAAAUCAGUCGAAGAUACCAGCUGGCUGCAACUGUUUAUUAAAAACACAGCACUGUGCAAACACGAAAGUGGACGUAUACGGUGUGACGCCUGCCCGGUGCCGGAAGGUUAAUUGAUGGGGUCAGCGCAAGCGAAGCUCUUGAUCGAAGCCCCGGUAAACGGCGGCCGUAACUAUAACGGUCCUAAGGUAGCGAAAUUCCUUGUCGGGUAAGUUCCGACCUGCACGAAUGGCGUAAUGAUGGCCAGGCUGUCUCCACCCGAGACUCAGUGAAAUUGAACUCGCUGUGAAGAUGCAGUGUACCCGCGGCAAGACGGAAAGACCCCGUGAACCUUUACUAUAGCUUGACACUGAACAUUGAGCCUUGAUGUGUAGGAUAGGUGGGAGGCUUUGAAGUGUGGACGCCAGUCUGCAUGGAGCCGACCUUGAAAUACCACCCUUUAAUGUUUGAUGUUCUAACGUGGACCCGUGAUCCGGGUUGCGGACAGUGUCUGGUGGGUAGUUUGACUGGGGCGGUCUCCUCCUAAAGAGUAACGGAGGAGCACGAAGGUUGGCUAAUCCUGGUCGGACAUCAGGAGGUUAGUGCAAUGGCAUAAGCCAGCUUGACUGCGAGCGUGACGGCGCGAGCAGGUGCGAAAGCAGGUCAUAGUGAUCCGGUGGUUCUGAAUGGAAGGGCCAUCGCUCAACGGAUAAAAGGUACUCCGGGGAUAACAGGCUGAUACCGCCCAAGAGUUCAUAUCGACGGCGGUGUUUGGCACCUCGAUGUCGGCUCAUCACAUCCUGGGGCUGAAGUAGGUCCCAAGGGUAUGGCUGUUCGCCAUUUAAAGUGGUACGCGAGCUGGGUUUAGAACGUCGUGAGACAGUUCGGUCCCUAUCUGCCGUGGGCGCUGGAGAAUUGAGGGGGGCUGCUCCUAGUACGAGAGGACCGGAGUGGACGCAUCACUGGUGUUCGGGUUGUCAUGCCAAUGGCACUGCCCGGUAGCUAAAUGCGGAAGAGAUAAGUGCUGAAAGCAUCUAAGCACGAAACUUGCCCCGAGAUGAGUUCUCCCUGACUCCUUGAGAGUCCUGAAGGAACGUUGAAGACGACGACGUUGAUAGGCCGGGUGUGUAAGCGCAGCGAUGCGUUGAGCUAACCGGUACUAAUGAACCGUGAGGCUUAACCUUACAACGCCGAAGGUGUUU